UUUCCGUAGGUGAACCUGCGGAAGGAUCAUUACCGAAUUGUCAAACGGGUUGUUGCUGGUCUUCAAACGGGGACAUGUGCACGCUCUGUUUACACAUCCACUCACACCUGUGCACCCUCCGUAGUUCUAUGGUCUGGGGGACCCCGUCUUCCUGGCGUGGUUCUACGUCUUUACACACACUCUGUAAUAAAGUCUUAUGGAAUGUAUGCCGCGUCUAACGCAAUACAAUACAACUUUCAGCAACGGAUCUCUUGGCUCUC
rnacentral:misc_RNA from 1 species